GCCGUAGUAGCACAGGGGUAGUGCAACCGCCUUGUAAGCGGUAGGUCGGGGGUUCAAAUCCCUCCUGCGGCACCA
rnacentral:tRNA from 1 species